UAUGUUUGUGUAGUGUGUGUAUAUAAUGCAGUGUGUUUGUGUAGUGUGCAUUAUAUAAACACACUACACAAACACUGC